AGACGCUGACCAGAGAACUCCCUGCUUGUGUGUUGUAAGAGCUAACGUGUGGAAAUCGGUUUUCUUCUAUUGAUACAAUUGUUGCUUGAUACUGAAGUGCCGAGUGUCCACGGAAGCCUCUGGAAACCCCGUAGCCUUGUUAGCACAUUGUGCCCUGUAUCGGUCAGGUUUUAUGGUUUGGAUCAAAGUUCGAAUUGCAGACGUGCAAGGGAAGAACGGAUCAAGAUUUCCAGUACUGGAUGGCGAGCCCCAGCCCAAAGAGUCAAAUUAACUGGUAGCUUGUAGCCCGACUGGUUACAAACACACUGAACACUGAACGAACCUAAAAAAAAAGAAGAAGAAAAAAAAAAACUUAUCAGACUACAACAGACAUUGAAAAAAGACUAAAGGACUAUACCUGGGUAUAUUUUAUUUUAUUUUGGGUAUAUUUUAUUUUAUUUUGGGUAAAGA